CCUACGGGAGACAGCAGUGAGGAAUAUUGGUCAAUGGGCGCGAGCCUGAACCAGCCAAGUAGCGUGAAGGAUGACUGCCCUACGGGUUGUAAACUUCUUUUAUAAAGGAAUAAAGUGAGGCACGUGUGCCUUGUUGUAUGUACGUUAUGAAUAAGGAUCGGCUAACGCCGUGCCAGCAGCCGCGGUAAUACGGAGGAUCCGAGCGUUAUCCGGAUUGAUUGGGUUUAAAGGGAGCGUAGAUGGGUUGUUAAGUCCGUUGUGAAAGUUUGCGGCUCAACCGUAAAAUUGCAAUUGAUACUGGCAGUCUUGAGUACAGUUGUGUUAGGCGGAUUUCGUGGUGUCGCGGU
rnacentral:rRNA from 1 species